rnacentral:rRNA from 1 species
UACGUAGGGUGCAAGCGUUUGUCCGGAAUCAUUGGGCGUAAAGAGCGUGUAGGCGGCUCGAUUAGUCCGCUGUAAAAGUCCAGGGCUCAACCCUGGGAUGCCGGUGGAAACUGUCGGGCUAGAGUCCGGGAGAGGCGAGUGGAAUUCCUGGUGUAGCGGUGAAAUGCGCAGAUAUCAGGAGGAACACCGAUGGCGAAGGCAGAUCUCUGGGCCGUAACUGACGCUGAGGAGCGAAAGCGUGGGGAGCGAACAGG